AUGUAUAGAACUCAGUAGUAGAGUAUUUGCCUCUUGUGCACAAAGCCUUGGGUUCAAUCCCUAGUAUCAUA
rnacentral:tRNA from 1 species